GACGAACGCUGGCGGCGUGCCUAAUACAUGCAAGUCGAACGCAUUUUCUUUCACCGUAGCCUGCUACACAGAAAGAAAAUGAGUGGCGAACGGGUGAGUAACACGUGGGUAACCUGCCCAUCAGCGGGGGAUAACACUUGGAAACAGGUGCUAAUACCGCAUAAUUCCAUUUACCGCAUGGUAGAUGGAUGAAAGGCGCUUUUGCGUCACUGAUGGAAGGACCCGCGGUGCAUUAGCUAGUUGGUGGGGUAACGGUCUACCAAGGCUGCGAUGCAUAGCCGACCUGAGUGGGUGAUCGGCCACACUGGGACUGAGACACGGCCCAGACUCCUACGGGAGGCAGCAGUAGGGAAUCUUCGGCAAUGGACGCAAGUCUGACCGAGCAACGCCGCGUGAGUGAAGAAGGUUUUCGGAUCGUAAAACUCUGUUGUUAGAGAAGAACAAGGAUGAGAGUGGAAAGUUCAUCCCUUGACGGUAUCUAACCAGAAAGCCACGGCUAACUACGUGCCAGCCGCCGCCGUAAUAC
rnacentral:rRNA from 1 species